AUUUGGAACAUGUGAUUUUUCACAUGUGAACACAUGUGAAUUUGGAACAUGUGAAACAUAAUUUCACAUGUGAAAUUUCAC